rnacentral:rRNA from 1 species
GACGAAGGGGGCUAGCGUUGUUCGGAAUUACUGGGCGUAAAGCGCGUGUAGGCGGUUGUUCAAGUCGGGUGUGAAAGCCUUGAGCUCAACUCAAGAAAUGCACUCGAUACUGGAUGACUUGAGGACCGGAGAGGAUAGUGGAAUUCCCAGUGUAGUGGUGAAAUACGUAGAGAUUGGGAAGAACACCAGUGGCGAAGGCGGCUAUCUGGACGGUUUCUGACGCUAAGACGCGAAAGCGUGGGGAGCAAACAAGG